rnacentral:rRNA from 1 species
CCUACGGGUGGCAGCAGUCGAGAAUUAUUCACAAUGGGGGAAACCCUGAUGGUGCGACGCCGCGUGGGGGAAUGAAGGUCUUCGGAUUGUAAACCCCUGUCAUGUGGGAGCAAAUUAAAAAGAUAGUACCACAAGAGGAAGAGACGGCUAACUCUGUGCCAGCAGCCGCGGUAAUACAGAGGUCUCAAGCGUUGUUCGGAAUCACUGGGCGUAAGGCGUGCGUAGGCUGUUUCGUAAGUCGUGUGUGAAAGGCGCGGGCUCAACCCGCGGACGGCACAUGAUACUGCGAGACUAGAGUAAUGGAGGGGGAACCGGAAUGCUCGGUGUAGCAGUGAAAUGCGUAGAUAUCGAGAGGAACACUCGUGGCGAAGGCGGGUUCCUGGACAUUAACUGACGCUGAGGCACGAAGGCCAGGGGAGCGAAAGGGAUUAGAUACCCGAGUAGUC